rnacentral:lncRNA from 1 species
AACCAAGGCCUUCAAACCAUGGCCCUUCAACUACAGAGCACCGCCCACUGGUUGGGGCAGAUAAUGCAGCAACGGGGCCUUAGCACCCCCGCAAACGUGUCACCAGUGGUAGAAGAACCCCAGACCAACGAACCUCAGCCUACCUUCAACCACCCCAGAACUGUCAGCCAAGAAACCGGAGACGGGAGGAGGAGAGCCGGAGAAGAGGAAGAGCCGGAAGCUCGAGUUCAUGGAAGGA